rnacentral:rRNA from 1 species
GGGGCAGCAGGGGUAGCAAUACUCGCUGGCGACCGGCAAACGGGUGCGGAACACGUACACAACCUUCCUUAAAGUGGGGAAUAGCCCAGGGAAACUUGGAUUAAUACCCCGUAAUAUUAUUAGAUGGCAUCAUUUGAUAAUUAUAGCUCCGGCGCUUAAAGAUGGGUGUGCGGCUGAUUAGGUAGUUGGCGGGGUAACGGCCCACCAAGCCUUCGAUCAGUAACUGGUGUGAGAGCACGACCAGUCACACGGGCACUGAGACACGGGCCCGACUCCUACGGGAGGCAGCAGUAAGGAAUAUUGGUCAAUGGACGCAAGUCUGAACCAGCCAUGCCGCGUGGAGGAUGAAGGUCCUCUGGAUUGUAAACUUCUUUUAUCUGGGAAGAAACCCAAGGUUUCUAUUUUGGUUGACGGUACCAGAUGAAUAAGCACCGGCUAACUCCGUGCCAGCAGCCGCGGUAAUACGGAGGGUGCAAGCGUUAUCCGGAUUCACUGGGUUUAAAGGGUGCGUAGGUGGGCUAGUAAGUCAGUGGUGAAAUCUCCGGGCUUAACCCGGAAACUGCCAUUGAUACUAUUAGUCUUGAAUGUUGUGGAGGUAAGCGGAAUAUGUCAUGUAGCGGUGAAAUGCUUAGAUAUGACAUAGAACACCGAUAGCGUAGGCAGCUUACUACACAAAUAUUGACACUGAGGCACGAAAGCGUGGGGAUCAAACAGGAUUAGAUACCCUGGUAGUCCACGCCCUAAACGAUGGAUACUCGACAUCAGCGAUACACUGUUGGUGUCUGAGCGAAAGCAUUAAGUAU